rnacentral:rRNA from 1 species
AGUGGGGAAUAUUGCACAAUGGAGGAAACUCUGAUGCAGCAACGCCGCGUGGAGGAUGACGCAUUUCGGUGUGUAAACUCCUUUUAUAUCCCAAGAUAAUGACGGUAGGAUAUGAAUAAGCACCGGCUAACUCCGUGCCAGCAGCCGCGGUAAUACGGAGGGUGCAAGCGUUACUCGGAAUCACUGGGCGUAAAGGAUGCGUAGGCGGAUAAUCAAGUCAAAAGUGAAAUCCCACGGCUUAACCGUGGAACUGCUUUCGAAACUGGUUAUCUAGAAUAUGGAAGAGGCAGAUGGAAUUAGUGGUGUAGGGGUAAAAUCCGUAGAGAUCACUAGGAAUACCGAUUGCGAAGGCGAUCUGCUGGGACAUUAUUGACGCUGAGGCAUGAAAGCGUGGGGAGCAAACAGGAUUAGAUACCCUGGUAGUCCACGCCCUAAACGAUGUACACCAGUUGUUGCGAUGCUCGUCAUUGCAGUAAUACAGUUAACACAUUAAGUGUACCGCCUGGGGAGUACGGUCGCAAGAUUAAAACUCAAAGGAAUAGACGGGGACCCGCACAAGCGGUGGAGCAUGUGGUUUAAUUUGAAGAUACGCGAAGAACCUUACCUAGACUUGAAAUCCUUGGAAUCUUUCAGAGAUGAGAGAGUGCUAGUUUACUAGAACCAAGUGACAGGUGCUGCACGGCUGUCGUCAGCUCGUGUCGUGAGAUGUUGGGUUAAGUCCCGCAACGAGCGCAACCCUCGUGAUUAGUUGCUAACAGUUCGGCUGAGCACUCUAAUCAGACUGCCUUCGUAAGGAGGAGGAAGGUGAGGACGACGUCAAGUCAUCAUGGCCCUUAUGUCUAGGGCUACACACGUGCUACAAUGGUUGGGACAAAGAGCAGCGAUACCGCGAGGUGGAGCAAAUCUUAAAACCCAAUCUCAGUUCGGAUUGGAGUCUGCAACUCGACUCCAUGAAGCUGGAAUCGCUAGUAAUCGUAGAUCAGCAAUGCUACGGUGAAUACGUUCCCGGGUCUUGUACUCACCGCCCGUCACACCAUGGGAGUUGAUUUCGCUCGAAGCCGGAAUACUAAAUUAGUUACCGUCCACAGCGGAAUUAGCGACUGGGGUGAAGUCGUAACAAGGUA